GACGGACGCUGGCGGCGUGCUUAACACAUGCAAGUCGAACGGAAAGGCCCCAGCUUGCUGGGGUACUCGAGUGGCGAACGGGUGAGUAACACGUGGGUGAUCUGCCCUGCACUCUGGGAUAAGCCUGGGAAACUGGGUCUAAUACCGGAUAGGACCGUGCUUUAGUGUGUGCGGUGGAAAGUUUUUCGGUGCAGGAUGAGCCCGCGGCCUAUCAGCUUGUUGGUGGGGUAAUGGCCUACCAAGGCGGCGACGGGUAGCCGGCCUGAGAGGGUGUACGGCCACAUUGGGACUGAGACACGGCCCAGACUCCUACGGGAGGCAGCAGUGGGGAAUAUUGCACAAUGGGCGCAAGCCUGAUGCAGCGACGCCGCGUGGGGGAUGACGGCCUUCGGGUUGUAAACCCCUUUCGGCAGGGACGAAGCUUUUGUGAUGGUACCUGCAUAAGAAGCACCGGCUAACUACGUG
rnacentral:rRNA from 1 species